AUAUUUGUAUCAUAAUAUUCUCUAAUAAAGUUUUAAUCUGUUCUUAUCAGCUUAAUAUCUGAUACGUCCUGCAUCGCAGGACCAGAAUAUUAAACUGAUUUUUGGAAAAUGACGGAGUGCUAGGGGCUUGCUCCACCUCUGUCACGGGUUGGCCCGGUAUUGCAGUACCUCCGGGAUCGGCCCAAAAAAA